rnacentral:rRNA from 1 species
UGAAACUUAAGCAUAUCAAUAAGCGGAGGAGAAGAAACUAACAAGGAUUCCCCCUAGUAACUGCGAGUGAAGCGGGAAAAGCUCAAAUUUAAAAUCUGGUGGUCUUUGGCCAUCCGAGUUGUAAUUUAGAGAAGCGUCUUCCGCGCUGGACCGUGCACAAGUCUCCUGGAAUGGAGCGUCAUAGAGGGUGAGAAUCCCGUCUUUGGCACGGAUGUACCAGGGCUUUUGUGAUGCGCUCUCGAAGAGUCGAGUUGUUUGGGAAUGCAGCUCAAAAUGGGUGGUGAACUCCAUCUAAAGCUAAAUAUUGGCGAGAGACCGAUAGCGAACAAGUACCGUGAGGGAAAGAUGAAAAGCACUUUGGAAAGAGAGUGAAACAGUACGUGAAAUUGUUGAAAGGGAAACGCUUGAAGUCAGUCGCGUCGACCGAGACUCAGCCUUGCCUCGGCUUGGUGUACUUCUCGGCUGACGGGUCAGCAUCAAUUUUGCCCCUUGGAUAAUGGCGAGGGAAAUGUGACACCUUUACGGUGUGUUAUAGUCUCUCGUCGCAUGCAAGGGUCGGGAUUGAGGAACUCAGCACGCGCCUUUGGGCGUCGGGGCUUUGCCCACGAUACGUGCUUAGGAUGUUGGCGUAAUGGCUUUAAACGACCCGUCUUGAAACACGGACCAAGGAGUCUAACAUGCCUGCGAGUGUUCGGGUGGAAAACCCGUGCGCGCAAUGAAAGUGAAAGUUGGGACCUCUGUCGUGGAGGGCACCGACGCCCGGACCAGACCUUCUGUGACGGCUCUGCGGUAGAGCAUGUAUGUUAGGACCCGAAAGAUGGUGAACUAUGCCUGAAUAGGGUGAAGCCAGAGGAAACUCUGGUGGAGGCUCGUAGCGAUUCUGACGUGCAAAUCGAUCGUCAAAUUUGGGUAUAGGGGCGAAAGACUAAUCGAACCAUCUAGUAGCUGGUUCCUG